rnacentral:rRNA from 1 species
CAGAGACUGCAAGCGUUAUUCGGAUUCACUGGGCGUAAAGGGUGCGCAGGCGGUUGGGUGUGUCAGAUGUGAGAUCCCGAGGCUUAACCUCGGAACUGCGUCUGAAACUACUCGACUAGAGUACUGGAGAGGGUAACGGAAUUCACGGUGUAGCAGUGAAAUGCGUAGAUAUCGUGAGGAACACCAGAGGCGAAGGCGGUUACCUGGACAGUUACUGACGCUCAGGCACGAAAGCAUGGGGAGCAAAAGGGAUUAGAUACCCCUGUAGUCCAUGCCCUAAACGGUGCACACUAGGUCUUAGCGGACUCGACCCCACUAGGGCCCAAGCUAACGCGUUAAGUGUGCCGCCUGAGGACUACGGUCGCAAGACUA